GUCGAGCGAAUGGAUUAAGAGCUUGCUCUUAUGAAGUUAGCGGCGGACGGGUGAGUAACACGUGGGUAACCUGCCCAUAAGACUGGGAUAACUCCGGGAAACCGGGGCUAAUACCGGAUAACAUUUUGAACCGCAUGGUUCGAAAUUGAAAGGCGGCUUCGGCUGUCACUUAUGGAUGGACCCGCGUCGCAUUAGCUAGUUGGUGAGGUAACGGCUCACCAAGGCAACGAUGCGUAGCCGACCUGAGAGGGUGAUCGGCCACACUGGGACUGAGACACGGCCCAGACUCCUACGGGAGGCAGCAGUAGGGAAUCUUCCGCAAUGGACGAAAGUCUGACGGAGCAACGCCGCGUGAGUGAUGAAGGCUUUCGGGUCGUAAAACUCUGUUGUUAGGGAAGAACAAGUGCUAGUUGAAUAAGCUGGCACCUUGACGGUACCUAACCAGAAAGCCACGGCUAACUACGUGCCAGCAGCCGCGGUAAUACGUAGGUGGCAAGCGUUAUCCGGAAUUAUUGGGCGUAAAGCGCGCGCAGGUGGUUUCUUAAGUCUGAUGUGAAAGCCCACGGCUCAACCGUGGAGGGUCAUUGGAAACUGGGAGACUUGAGUGCAGAAGAGGAAAGUGGAAUUCCAUGUGUAGCGGUGAAAUGCGUAGAGAUAUGGAGGA
rnacentral:rRNA from 2 species